rnacentral:ncRNA from 1 species
UACUGAGAAAACCAAACCUAUCGUGAGAUAGGGACAGAAAGCCGCGGAUCUUUGUACGCAAAGACAGCCGGGUUACCUCA